rnacentral:rRNA from 1 species
AUGAUCACUCGACCAUCGACUACUGGGGCGCCAUCAAGGAUGCAGAAAACAUCCCCCUCUUCAAUUGUGCAAAUAUUCAAUAAUUUUUUUACUGGAAGCAGUCUGCAAACUGAAGUUGGAAACAGAUGCAAACAUAACACCCAACCACCUCUCCGGGUGUCACCUUUUCACCUUUUCCUGCAGGUGUUCGUACUAGGCAAUGUUGAGCUGGGCAUGAUGAACUUAAAGCAAACCACAAUGCCACGGAUACAAUUAUUCAACGGGGAGACCCUAAAAUGGAUGAUCCUCGUGUGCUCAGCAAGGAAGCUAGGGAAAACCAUCUUCAUAGUCUCCGAGGCAAGACACUGGAAUGCCAUGUGUUACACAUGGCACAACUACAUAAACGAGAAGCAUGUCAAGAAGAAAUCAAUGGAGUACAAGGCUGAAGGUUCAGCAAAUCAGUAUGCAAUUGUCAGACACAACCCAGACAGCACUCGGCGGGCGGACUACAUCAACACAGAUACAGCCGUAAGCAACCUUGCACACACACAAAUAAGCAACACCGAAUUCAGCCCCGGUGACUAUGCUCGUUGGAUCCAGAUGCAAAACCCAGAGCUGGCCGCUUCUCCAUUGGGAUGGGCACUAAAAGAGAACAACGCCAAGUGUGUGCAUAUCGCAAAUGAAAUGAAAAGGAACAUUGCAAGUGAGAACAUUCGAUUCACGAAAAAAUGGCUCCAAGUUUAUUCUGUCAGACCAAAUUUGGGAACCCCCGCACCUAGUGCGUCUUAUCGCGCUGUUGUAACAACGAAAGGUGUCGGCGGCUCAGACGCACCAUCAUUCGAACUGGACAUAGACGGCCACAACGAAGCCGGUACGCCUAUCAAGAAGGAUGGAAAGGCCACCCCGGUUUCACCUACUUUGGCGACAAAGACACAUUUCGACCACCUAGUAGGGCAGCUAAUGAUGCUCAACGAUGAGAUCGGAGACACUGAGGGACACAUUGUCUUUGGUCAAGUGAACGGCACGGCUAUAAAAAAGAUCAAAGCUUCUCACACCGGGUUCACAAAAGACCCAUGGUCUAGUAAUCGGAUGGUGCGCACACACGGGGCAGGGGUCCUGAAAGCCAUCAGAGAAUGGAUGCGAUCAAGAACACCCUAUGAUCUUCUUAGGGAUUGGGUCUCACAACCUGACCCACAGAUCAUUGCAAUCAGCGGCAAUGCCAUCAAGUCUCAAUUAUGUGAUGGUUCUGAACUUGACCACGAGCUUGGGUCCCUGAUUGUCCGUCAAAUUGGGAAGAUGGAGUUGCAUGCGCACCGUGCCAGCCCCGACGAACUAUACCGGUUGCUUCUCGAGCCCGAUUUUGCGGGGAAAACAUCACAAGAAUAA